CCUACGGGAGGCAGCAGUGAGGAAUAUUGGUCAAUGGGCGCGAGCCUGAACCAGCCAAGUCGCGUGAGGGAAGACGGCCUUAUGGGUUGUAAACCUCUUUCAGAUGAGAGUAAAGGGUGCUACGUGUAGCACAUUGCAAGUAUCGUCAGAAGAAGCAUCGGCUAAUUCCGUGCCAGCAGCCGCGGUAAU
rnacentral:rRNA from 1 species